ensembl:lncRNA
CAGGGGCGGACUGGCCAUCGGGGAUACCGGGGAAAUCCCCGGUGGGCCGACGGGGUUGGGAUGGUCCAAAAUACCGGCCCACUCCGCUCACCAAACGGCCCUUUCCUCUAACAUCGCCGGCACCUACGUUAUUCUAUGCUACACAGAACACAUAUUAUUGACUCUAUUUCCAAAAGCCCCUUAAUUUCACUGACUGAUUUUUAUACUACUCCUUGCGAUCUGUAUUCACACUCAUGGUGCCUAUUUUUUGAAACUAUUCUAUGUCUUCUUUACUCAUCUAAUGUCUUCCGUAAGUCUAACUUAGUUUUAGGUGUUAUUAAAUGUCAAUCGCUCUAGCCUACUCAACACUUGCAUCACUCGCUCUCAGACACCCCUACACACACACACACAAUCACACACCCAGCAUGCAACACUACUGAUAGCACUGAUGUUCACACCCCAUCGUAUGUUCUGUACUGUUCAUUUCUACAGUAUAGUGGGCGGCUUGUCCAUAAGGGCGAUUGGGGCGAUGCACUGCCUACGGGAAAAGGAGUUUUUUUUCUGUCAGAUUCUACCACUAGACCGUCUGAUCCGCCUCUGCAUGUCAUUGUCGAAUCAGCCAACAGUCACUCAGGCAACAGUCAGGCAAACGUGGUGCUUGAAAUGACCCCGCCUCCUUUUUGGGCAAAAUGGAAAUCGCCCCAGAUCUCUCUCAUUGACUCUCUUGUUAAAUCCAUUUUUAACAUUCAGUGCAACAACUCCAUUCGUUCUUUGAAAGUCGGCGUACUAAUGAAGAUAAAUUGACAACAAAACAUUUAGGACUUCCUAGACCAAAUGUAUCCAUUCAACAGGUUUCUACAAAGGGAGGGAAAUCCUACAUCCAAUAAUUGGAACGAAAGAAAAUCGCGGUCAUGAAGUGGCUAACGCGGUCUGUAUUUCAUAUACCACUGUCACUUUUCAUAGGUUUCACAGUGUGUUUCACAGUUCGCUUCUUGCACUAACACUGAAUAAUUUUUUAUGUGAUGACUUAUUUUGCUUUUGUAAGCCAAUACUUUCAAGAUCGGUCAAUAAAUAUUGUUGGUUUUGACUUAUGUUACCCCUUCUUUAUGUUGUUACUAGACAUAUCAUGUGUCCUGUUAAGCUAUGUUACAUCAUACAACAUUUGAGACACGUGGAUAAUGAAAAAGUGGGAUAAUUUAAUGUGGAGCCACAUCAUGUUUGCUUAUGAAGGCUCCUGGAUGCAACUUUCUUCCAUAGCUUUCCACCUGUAACUUGCUACUCUAGCUAUGUAGCAAGAGGGGACAUAUUACUGUUGUGUGCUGU